CUCAAGAUCGCCCAGUAGAAAAGUGGCAGAGCCAGGAUCUGAACCCAGGACCUUCUGACUCCCAGGCCCGUGAUUUCAACACUAGGCCACGCCAGGAAGAGUGUCGGCCGUCCUUAGGGAGAUGUCGGACUGCACAGCUGCAAAAAUACAAUGAAGAACACUAUAAAUAAUCUCCGCCACUGGACAGCGAACAGAUGGCCCAGCGCUGAGUACACUGCCAGGCCCACAAGGCUUCCUGUCAUCCUGAAUGGAGGAGAGAAAGUUAUUAGACCAUUGCUGACACGAAUUCCACACCUCAACAGAUUAAAUGCUUUAGAAGCCCAACCGAUCGCGUCUCCAACCCAUCUUCGCUCCUGACUGUCAGGACCAGAAAUGGAGUCAUUUUUGUUUCCGCCGAACUUUCAGCUCAGCGUCUCAGUAACCAUCAGAUGAGGUACCCGAGGCCCAGAGAAGUGAAGGGACUUGCCCAAGG